rnacentral:tRNA from 1 species
GAGGGCAUAGCCCAGUGGGUUAAAGUACAUGCUUACCAUGCAUGAGGUCCUGGGUUCAAUCCCAAGGGCCUCU